GGUCGCAAGAUUAAAACUCAAAUGAAUUGACGGGGGCCNGCACAAGCGGUGGAGCAUGUGGUUUAAUUNGACGCAACGCGAAGANCCUUACCUACUUUUUGACAUCCAGAGAACUCGCUAGAGAUAGCUUGGUGCCUUCGGGAGCUCUGAGACAGGUGCUGCAUGGCUGUCGUCAGCUCGUGUUGUGAAAUGUUGGGUUAAGUCCCGUAACGAGCGCAACCCUUGUCCUUAUUUGCCAGCACGUAAUGGUGGGAACUCUAAGGAGACUGCCGGUGACAAGCCGGAGGAAGGUGGGGACGACGUCAAGUCAUCAUGGCCCUUACGAGUAGGGCUACACACGUGCUACAAUGGCCGGUACAGAGGGCUGCAACCCCGCGAGGGUGAGCUAAUCUCAGAAAACCGGUCGUAGUCCGGAUCGCAGUCUGCAACUCGACUGCGUGAAGUCGGAAUCGCUAGUAAUCGCGAAUCAGCAUGUCGCGGUGAAUACGUUCCCGGGCCUUGUACACACCGCCCGCCACACCAUGGGAGUGGGUUGCACCAGAAGUAGCUAGUCUAACCUUCGGGAGGACGGUUACCACGGUGUGGUCCAUGACUGGGGUG
rnacentral:rRNA from 1 species